CCGCGCAUGCUGCGGUCCCCUUUCUGCCGUGAUGCCGUCUCGGUCGCCGGUCGCCGCCGGCCGGGUGCCGGUGCGUCGCCGGGUGCGUGGUCC
rnacentral:tRNA from 1 species